rnacentral:rRNA from 1 species
GUUUGAUCCUGGCUCAGAGCGAACGCUGGCGGCAGGCCUAACACAUGCAAGUCGAGCGCGUGUAGCAAUACACGAGCGGCAGACGGGAGAGUAACACGUGGGAACGCGCCCUUCGGUUCGGAAUAACUCAGGGAAACUUGAGCUAAUACCGGAUACGCCCUUACGGGGAAAGAUUUAUUGCCGAAGGAACGGCCCGCGUCCGAUUAGCUAGUUGGUGAGGUAAUGGCUCACCAAGGCGACGAUCGGUAGCUGGUCUGAGAGGAUGACCAGCCUCACUGGGACUGAGACACGGCCCAGACUCCUACGGGAGGCAGCAGUGGGGAAUAUUGGACAAUGGGCGCAAGCCUGAUCCAGCCAUGCCGCGUGGAUGAUGAAGGCCCUAGGGUUGUAAAGUCCUUUUAACGGGGAAGAUAAUGACGGUACCCGUAGAAUAAGCCCCGGCUAACUUCGUGCCAGCAGCCGCGGUAAUAA